rnacentral:lncRNA from 1 species
GUUGAAUUGGAGGUGGGGCCUGGUGGGAGGAGAUUGGAUCAUGGGGUAGAUCUCCUCCUUGCUGUCAUAUUAGUGAGUUUUCCUGAAAUCUCAUGGUUUAAAAGUGUGUUGCCCUUCCCUCUUCUCUCUCUCUCCUGCUCUGCCAUGGUAAGACAUGCUUGCUUCCCCUUUCUCUUCUGCUAUGAUUGUAAGUUUCUUGAGGCCUCCUAUCCACACUACUGGUACAGCCUGAGGAAUUUUAAGCCCAUUAAACCUCUUUCCUUCAUAAAUUACCCAGUCUCAGGUGGUUCUUUAUAGCAGUGUGAGAAUGGAUGAAUGCACCUGUGAUCUACCUUUUGCAGGAUGAAGACCUAGAUGAGUUCAAAGGCCUGAAGAACCAGGGGCGCCACUGUGUAAAUCUGUUACCAAACCAAACUGGGAUCUGCUCACCCGGUGCUGUAAGGCCCAACAUCUACAUGAAAGUUUGCAGAGGGAGAAAGGAGGGGCCCAAGCGUGAAGAAUUGGGCAGCUUAUGCUUGAGACAUGACCCCCCUGAUGGCUUACCUCCAUUUCCUGAGCCAUGAAUUGAUGCUAAGGAUACCGAUUCACAGUGGAGUUGAGAGGAUUAAUGAGACCAUGUAGGUAAAAUUGCUUGGCAUGCUGUAAAUAGUGGGCACUCAAGGAACUCACCCCCUACUUCUGCUCUUUACUCUGCUCUUCUCUCUUUUUUUUUUUUUUUUUUUUUUUUUUGCUUUUCCUCUCUCCAUUCUUCUUUCCCCCAAUCCAUCAAAAUUUCCUAAAGUACCACCAGAGGGCACAACCUAGACAUCAACCUUGUAUAAUGGAUUCCGUGCAGCUUAUGGAGUCCUCAGAGAUGAUUCCCAAGUUAUCCUGGAGUGUGGUAAAAAGUCUUUUGGCCGGAAAUUCUGCUGUUCUUCUGAAUAGAUUAAGUAUGUGCAACACUAUAUGGCAUCAGUUUAUUUAUGCCAAUUUGUUUAAUCUAAAAUCCAACAUGUAUAAUGUAGCUAGGUUGGAGCAGUCCGUCAUUUUUCUACUCAUUUCUUCUAUUUUACACUCAUUGUGAUGUGCAUAAACUCUUGCUCUCUAGUCAUAAUUAUCACACUAUUCCUGUGUGUGCACGUGCAUGUGCAUGUGUUAGUCUUUGGAAUAAACUAGUAAAUUAAUAGGUUUUUUUUUGAGAUGGAGUCUCACUGUGUUGUCCAGGCUGGAGUGCAAUGCAAUAGCGUGAUCUGAGCUCACUGCAACCUCUGCCUCCCAGGUCAAGUUUUUCUCCUGCAUCAGCCUCCCAAGUAACUGGGAUUACAGGCAUGAGCCACCAUGCCUGGCUAAUGUUUGUUUGUUUGUUUGUUUUUUGAGAUGAAGUUUUGCUCUUGUUGCCCAGGCUGGAGUGCAAUGGCGCAAUCUCAGCUCACCAGCCACUCUGUCUCCUGGGUUCAAGUGAUUCUCCUGUCUCGGCCUCCCAAGUACCUGGGAUUACAUGGACGCGUCACCACAUCUGGCUAAUUUUGUAUUUU